UACAGAGGCCCCGAGCGUUUAGGCGGAAUCACUGGGCUUAAAGCGUGUGUAGGCGGACCGGUAAGUACCUUGUGAAAUCCCACGGCUCACCCGUGGAACCGCUGGGUAUACUGCCGGUCUUGGGCUGUCUAGGGGCAACUGGAACAAGCGGUGGAGCGGUGAAAUGCGUAGAUAUCGCUUGGAACGCCGAAGGUGAAAACAGGUUGCUGGGGACACGCCGACGCUGAGACACGAAAGCCAGGGGAGCGAACGGG
rnacentral:rRNA from 1 species